rnacentral:rRNA from 1 species
UACGAGGGGGGGCGAGCGUUGUUCGGAAUUAUUGGGCGUAAAGGGCGCGUAGGCGGUGCGGUAAGUCACCUGUGAAACCUCUGGGCUUAACUCAGAGCCUGCAGGCGAAACUGCCGUGCUGGAGUGUGGGAGAGGUGCGUGGAACUGCGAGUGUAGAGGUGAAAUUCGUAGAUAUUCGCAAGAACACCAGUGGCGGAAGGCGGCUCACUGGCCCGAUACUGACGCUGAGGUGGCGAAAGCGUGGGGAGCAAACAGG